rnacentral:lncRNA from 1 species
ACGACUGAAAGCUUUAAACAUGCAUGAGAGCUGGAAAAUAUUAACCUACACGAAAUUCUACACGUUCUACAUAUAUAACUUGUUGCGAUCCGACGCACGAUUUAAAAAUUACGGGCAUUUGAAAAUAUAUAUUUUUCUAAAAAAGAAUAAAUCGCGGUUAAUAGGAAAAUCUACUCGGGCCGAAUCUGAAUCUGGUACAGCAGUGCACUGGGUGACGGGCAGCUAAAAGAUGCCUCGGGCAAGAGACUGAGCUGGAGCGCUCACCAGAGGGCUUGGGGCCAGAUCUGGUGCUAGGCUGGGUUGAGGAGGCCGCAGCCUUGGCAACGCGAGUCCCGUGCGGGCACUGGGCCGGUCAACGCUGCUGGAUGGGCUGGCCCACGAGCGGCAUGAGGCGAGGAAGCGGUCUGGAAAGCCGCUCAUCAUUCUCCUCGUGCCCCCGAACGACCACGGGAGUAGUUGCAUGGGACGACAGCGGCGCAAGCGAGGGAGUCCGGCGGCGGGCGGCCGUGUUGUGGCGGAUCCAUGCGGAUCUGAUCGACGCAGACCGAAUCCCGGCAUGUGCGAGCACGAACUACGGCGGCUGAGCUCCUGACCAAAUCCAUGGAGGGGCUGCUCCUGCGGGAAAGAGAGAGACAGAGAUGAACGAGGAGAGAGAGAGACGAGGUGAGAGGAAGGAGAGAUGGGCGGCGGCGUGACCCUAGACCUGGUGCGGCGUCUCCGGCGUUGGGGCUCGCCGGACGGCGUGGGUCAAGGUGGAGGGUGCUGCGGCUCGGGAGCUCCUCUACCCGAGCGAGCAGGGGCGCACGUGGUUCGGGCGGCGCUAGGACGCGGGCGCGCUCGGGCACUUGUGGGCGGCUGCGGCCAGAUGGGCCAUGGAGGGCCUGGAUCGGGCCUGGCGGGCUGCGGCGCUGGGAGGGAAAGAGAGAGGCGACCCGGUGGCGGCUAGGAUUUGGUGGGAGCAUGGAUCCCGUGGAGUAUUAGGGGAGCGUCCAAAUAGGCAGG